rnacentral:lncRNA from 1 species
GGGUUUCAAAUGUUAAACAAUUUACCACAUAAGUUUGGGCUUUUAUAGUCUAACUUAUCAUCUCCAGCCUCCAGGCAUCAGAUCGAGGCCCAUUCCAAUUUUUUUUUUUUUUUAAAAGAACAUUUAGUUGUAAGCUACUGAGCUGGUUUUGCUUUGCAGGUUAACACACCAAAAAUAAUAGUAAUAUCUGAAUCAGCUUUCAUAUCAUAUCAUGACACUUGACAUCUUACUAGCAAGUAAUAAGACCACGUAAAAUCAAUUCGUAACAUACAAGUGGUCUAUUUGACGACCUCGUCUUCAAAUAUAUUUUAUCAAUAUAUAGGGUCUCUUUAUCGUGAAAAAAAAAAAAUUCAAGAGAAAUCUCAACAUCUGCGUUUUCCUUAUUAUCGAAGCCUAGAUAUGCAUGUCCCCAAGGGGACACCAAGCAGUGCGACUUUCUGUGUGUGAACAGCAUAAGGUCCCGGGUUCAAACCCCACUGCUCCCCCUCCCUAACUC